GACGAACGCCGGCGGCGUGCUUAACACAUGCAAGUCGAACGGAAAGGCCCUGCUUUUGUGGGGUGCUCGAGUGGCGAACGGGUGAGUAACACGUGAGUAACCUGCCCUUGACUUUGGGAUAAUUUCAGGAAACUGGGGCUAAUACCGGAUAGGAGCUCCUGCUGCAUGGUGGGGGUUGGAAAGUUUCGGCGGUUGGGGAUGGACUCGCGGCUUAUCAGCUUGUUGGUGGGGUAGUGGCUUACCAAGGCUUUGACGGGUAGCCGGCCUGAGAGGGUGACCGGCCACAUUGGGACUGAGAUACGGCCCAGACUCCUACGGGAGGCAGCAGUGGGGAAUAUUGCACAAUGGGCGGAAGCCUGAUGCAGCAACGCCGCGUGCGGGAUGACGGCCUUCGGGUUGUAAACCGCUUUCGCCUGUGACGAAGCGUGAGUGACGGUAAUGGGUAAAGAAGCACCGGCUAACUACGUG
rnacentral:rRNA from 1 species